rnacentral:lncRNA from 1 species
UAAUUGUCCCUCUUCUAGUAAAACUAUCUAUUUGAGUUGUCAUGAUCUUUGGCUCUUGAUCGUGAGAUCAAUAAUUAAUCUUAGAGCACCUGCUCUGAUACCACUUGUUGCCCAGUAGAUACAACCCAAGAGGGGGGGUGAAUUGGAUCUUUUAAAAACUUUUCAACUACUUCUAAUCUUUUAGAGUUAAUUAUGCUAAGUUGUAUAGAUGCACAGUAAAAUUUAAACUUAGCAACAGUUUGAUGUAUAGAUUGUGACUUGAUUGAUUAUGCUUGCAACUAAAGGAUGCGCGGAUAAGAGUUAAGCAAGCAAUUUAUCUAAGUAAGUAAGUGAGUAAGGUAGACAAUGACAAGAAGCAUUACAAACACAACAA